rnacentral:rRNA from 1 species
AUUGAACGCUGGCGGCAGGCCUAACACAUGCAAGUCGAACGGUAGCACAGAGAGCUUGCUCUCGGGUGACGAGUGGCGGACGGGUGAGUAAUGUCUGGGAAACUGCCCGAUGGAGGGGGAUAACUACUGGAAACGGUAGCUAAUACCGCAUAAUGUCGCAAGACCAAAGAGGGGGACCUUCGGGCCUCUUGCCAUCGGAUGUGCCCAGAUGGGAUUAGCUAGUUGGUGAGGUAAUGGCUCACCAAGGCGACGAUCCCUAGCUGGUCUGAGAGGAUGACCAGCCACACUGGAACUGAGACACGGUCCAGACUCCUACGGGAGGCAGCAGUGGGGAAUAUUGCACAAUGGGCGCAAGCCUGAUGCAGCUAUGCCGCGUGUAUGAAGAAGGCCUUCGGGUUGUAAAGUACUUUCAGCGGGGAGGAAGGCAAUGCGGUUAAUAACCGUGUUGAUUGACGUUACCCGCAGAAGAAGCACCGGCUAACUCCGU